GUUUUUCGCUUGAAGAUGAGUCUAUGCGAGAUUAGCUAGUUGGUGAGGUAACGGCUCACCAAGGCGACGAUCUCUAACUGGUCUUAGAGGAUGAUCAGUCACACUGGAACUGAGACACGGUCCAGACUCCUACGGGAGGCAGCAGUAGGGAAUAUUGCGCAAUGGGGGAAACCCUGACGCAGCGACGCCGCGUGAGUGAUAAAGGCCUUCGGGUCGUAAAGCUCUGUCGUAUGGGAAUAACGCAAUG
rnacentral:rRNA from 1 species